rnacentral:lncRNA from 1 species
GGAGGUACCUUGGCUCUGCUCCCAACCAACUGUAUGACUUGGGGCAAAUCACUUUGCCUCUGUGAAGCUUAGUCUUUUCAUCUUUCAUUGGGUUAAAAGCUUGCUCAGGUCCAUGCAAGUCAAAGUACCACAAAACCUACCAGCUCUUUCUGCUAAUCUCUACUUAGCCUGAAAGGGGGUAGCAGGCAAGUGGUAUCCUCCAGUUAGCACACAUAUUUGUCACCACUGCAGAAAAAGGCCCACUCUGAAGGGGUCCCCGAGAUAAAAGGAGGCAGCGUCCAGCUGCACUGAUUGCAGAUGCUGAGGGAUUGUGAAGCCCACAAGAGACCCAUUGACUGGGACAAGUUUCCUGUCCGUGCUCAUUUUCAGGAAAAAAUAUAAAAGAAUCUCAAUUUAUCUUCUCCUUUGUUAUUUUCUUUCUUGCCAAAGAAUUGAAAGGCAAGACCAAGGAGCAGUGUUUCCAGGGGCGAGUUGGGAGGCAAAAAGAAAGAAGUACCUCUCGCGGGUUCCAACUUGCAGCGAGCAUCGCGGUCUUCGCAGCAGAAUUGCAAGCCAAGAUCAGGGGAAUGGAUGAAAAAAAAUCUUUUAAAAACAAGAUCCUUGCUCCUUUAUGGUAAUUAAAAGCAAUAAAUAUUCUUGCCCACAAUGCUAAAAAUCUCA